CCGUAGCUCAAUUGGUAGAGCGCCUGCUUUGCACGCAGGAGGUCAGGAGUUCGAUUCUCCUCGGGUCC
rnacentral:tRNA from 1 species